GACGAACGCUGGCGGCGUGCUUAACACAUGCAAGUCGAGCGGUAAGGCCCUUUCGGGGGUACGACGAGCGGCGAACGGGUGAGUAACACGUGGGUGACCUGCCCUCAGCUCUGGGAGUAAGCCUGGGAAACCGGGGUCUAAUACUGGAUAUGACUCCAUGACGCAUGUUGUGGGGUGGAAAGCCUUGUGCGGCUGAGGAUGGGCCCGCGGCCUAUCAGCUUGUUGGU
rnacentral:rRNA from 1 species